CACCACCUUCUCCUCUUCCUCCGAGUAGAAGAGAUUGAAGCCUCCAACAUUGAUAACGUUGUGCUGGAUGAAGACCGCUCUGGGGCUCGUCGUCUGCAAAAUCUCUGGAGGGACCAGAGAGAAGAAGAACUGGGCGAGUAUUACAUGAAGAAAUAUGCCAAGUCAUCUGUGGGAGAGACGGUAUAUGGAGGGUCUGAUGAGCUCUCAGAUGACAUCACCCAGCAGCAGCUGCUCCCAGGAGUCAAGGACCCCAACCUGUGGACGGUCAAGUGUAAGAUUGGGGAGGAACGGGCCACAGCAAUUUCCUUGAUGCGAAAAUUCAUCGCUUACCAGUUCACAGACACACCCCUGCAGAUUAAGUCAGUGGUUGCCCCGGAGCAUGUGAAGGGCUACAUCUAUGUGGAGGCCUACAAACAGACCCAUGUGAAGCAGGCCAUUGAGGGUGUGGGCAACCUGCGGCUUGGCUACUGGAACCAGCAGAUGGUGCCUAUUAAGGAGAUGACCGAUGUACUCAAGGUGGUGAAGGAGGUGGCCAACCUGAAGCCGAAGUCCUGGGUCCGCCUCAAGAGAGGCAUCUACAAAGAUGACAUCGCUCAGGUGGACUACGUCGAGCCCAGCCAGAACACCAUUUCCCUGAAGAUGAUCCCGCGCAUUGACUAUGACCGCAUCAAAGCCCGCAUGAGCUUGAAAGACUGGUUUGCCAAAAGGAAGAAGUUCAAGCGGCCUCCACAGAGGCUCUUUGAUGCUGAAAAGAUC
rnacentral:lncRNA from 1 species